UACGUAGGGUGCAAGCGUUGUCCGGAAUUAUUGGGCGUAAAGAGCUCGUAGGCGGUCUGUCGCGUCUGCUGUGAAAACUCAGGGCUUAACCCUGAGCUUGCAGUGGGUACGGGCAGACUAGAGUGCGGUAGGGGAGACUGGAAUUCCUGGUGUAGCGGUGAAAUGCGCAGAUAUCAGGAGGAACACCAGCGGCGAAGGCGGCGCUCUGGGCCGGUACUGACGCUGAGGAGCGAAAGCGUGGGGAGCAAACAGG
rnacentral:rRNA from 1 species